ensembl:snRNA U6 U6 spliceosomal RNA
GUGCUCAUUUCGUCAGUACAUACACUAAAACUGGAACGAUACAGAGAAGAUUAGCAUGGCCUGCACAAACAAGGCUGACACACAACUUCACAGUGUUCCAUAUUCUU